rnacentral:lncRNA from 1 species
GGCCAGUAGAAAUGCUCUAGCGGGAUGAAGCUGCUAUGAAGGCCUUCCUUUCCCUCUUGUUCCUCCCUUCUGAGCUUUCUUUCUUCAUCCCGGCUCCUCCAGGAUGUGCCUGUCCGGAGCUCCACUGCGAGUAGAUUCAGCCCAGCCGUGCCUGCAGCUUGCCUCGACACUCAGGACUCCAGCCAGACAUGACUUGAGUCUCUCCAUCCUCGGAAUUCCUGUAGCCUUCACUGCCUUACUUCCCAUUUUGAAUUUUUAUUGUACUUCCC